rnacentral:rRNA from 1 species
AAUUAUACCGUGAAACUGCGAAUGGCUCAUUAAAUCAGUUAUCGUUUAUUUGAUAGUACCUUACUACUUGGAUACCUGUGGUAAUUCUAGAGCUAAUACAUGCUAAAAACCCCGACUUCGGAAGGGGUGUAUUUAUUAGAUAAAAAACCAAUGCCCUUCGGGGCUCCUUGGUGAUUCAUAAUAACUUCUCAGAUCGCAUGGCCUUGCGCCGGCGACGGUUCAUUCAAAUUUCUGCCCUAUCAACUUUCGAUGGUAAGGUAUUGGCUUACCAUGGUGGCAACGGGUAACGGGGAAUUAGGGUUCGAUUCCGGAGAGUUAGCCUGAGAAACGGCUAACACAUCCAAGGAAGGCAGCAGGCGCGCAAAUUACCCAAUCCCGAUACGGGGAGGUAGUGACAAUAAAUACUGAUACAGGGCUCUUUUGGGUCUUGUAAUUGGAAUGAGUACAAUUUAAACCUCUUAACGAGGAACAAUUGGAGGGCAAGUCUGGUGCCAGCAGCCGCGGUAAUUCCAGCUCCAAUAGCGUAUAUUAAAGUUGUUGCAGUUAAAAAGCUCGUAGUUGAACCUUUGGCCUGGCUGGCAGGUCCGCCUCACCGCGUGCACUUGUCCGGCCGGGCCUUUUCUUCUGGAGAACCGCAUGCCCUUCACUGGGUGUGUUGGGGACCAGGACUUUUACUUUGAAAAAAUUAGAGUGUUCAAAGCAGGCCUUUGCUCGAAUAUUACAGCAUGGAAUAAUAGAAUAGGACGUGCGGUUCUAUUUUGUUGGUUUCUAGGACCGCCGUAAUGAUUAAUAGGGACAGUCGGGGGCAUCAGUAUUCAAUUGUCAGAGGUGAAAUUCUUGGAUUUAUUGAAGACUAACUACUGCGAAAGCAUUUGCCAAGGAUGUUUUCAUUAAUCAGUGAACGAAAGUUAGGGGAUCGAAGACGAUCAGAUACCGUCGUAGUCUUAACCAUAAACUAUGCCGACUAGGGAUCGGGCGGUGUUACUAUUUUGACUCGCUCGGCACCUUACGAGAAAUCAAAGUGUUUGGGUUCUGGGGGAG